AUGUUUUUUUCUUUACUUUUCAGAGCUCUACAGUGCUGACGUUUAUCAAGUAAAGACACACAGCACAGCCUUGCAUAAAUAAUGGCACUGGGCCAAGUACAGCUGAGGUGGUUGCCAGCACAACUCCAUUGAAGUCAAAGGAAUUGCACCACGGAAGAUUAAUGGAGAAAAAGUCACAACAGCCAAGAACAACCGAGGAUGGAGGAAGGAAGAAGGAUAAAUGCAAGAGUGUUUACAGGACAGUCAGAUCUUCACAGCCUUCUGAGGUGUCAAAGUGUACACAAGGUCAUUUUGCCCUGCAUAAUGCCAGAUCAAGAAAGAGAGGAAUAUCUGGCCUGACAUGCUGGUCCUACCUGCAAAGUACCUGGGAUUAGUGACCUUUCACAUCACAGCUGUCUUUGGCACUGAGAAGGGGUAGUAUUCUCUGUUCAUGACCCAUAUCUUGGGCACUUUGUCCUCAACUAGCAUUGACAUAGAAUAUUUGAGGUAGGCUUCAGCUUCCUUACUGAGUCCAGCCAAGGGGGAGCCUGAGGGAGCUCUUCCUCUCAUAUGGGUUUCUUGGUUCACAUUAAAUUUCCUUAACAUCAAGUGCUUUUUGGGUUACACCAAAGCUUCCAGGACAAUCAGAAGACAUUGGCUGAUGUGACACAGAGCCUAGAGAUGACCCUUGUUUUCCUGAAUCAGCAAGGUAAGGAGUAGCCACAGGGUAUACAAUAUCUACACUAUGUUUAAAAGACAGCUCUCCUUUUGUUCUAAGUGCCGUCUGUUGGACAGUGCUCUGCUCUCUAGGAUGACAGUGCUAUCACUUUUUUACUUUAAUAUGAAGCUUCCCAGAGACAGCAAAUUGUUACCUGUAUCUUCUGGUGCAUUUUAGUGGGGGAUGUUUAGACAUACUUCCUGCGAGCACUCUUCAUCUUCAUCCACGGCUACAGGUUGAUCCAUUUUACCAUUUAGUUAAUAGUCACGUAUUUUAUUUAACUUGAUGUGCUUUACUUAAUGUGCUCUCUUAAUCUGCCAUAUUCAGAAGUAUUUAUAAAGUAGCUCUGACUGUAUUGUUUUAGCAAUACUAUUCUAAAGACAACAAGUAAAAACAGAUGUGCACACCGAGAUAUCAUCUUUUGUGUAAUCAGCUGGCAUAAUUGGGAAAGUUGGAAAAAUUUUCAGGCACACCAGUCUUCCUCAGAUCUGAAACAGAAUUAGCAGACUUCAGAGCUAAACACAAAAUGAAAGCAAUUCCUCAGG